GACGAACGCUGGCGGCGUGCUUAACACAUGCAAGUCGAACGGAAAGGCCUCUUUCGGGGGGUACUCGAGUGGCGAACGGGUGAGUAACACGUGAGUAACCUGCCCUUGACUUUGUGAUAACUUCAGUAAACUGGGGCUAAUACCGGAUAGGAGCUCCUGCUGCAUGGUGGGGGUUGGAAAGUUUCGGCGGUUGGGGAUGGACUCGCGGCUUAUCAGCUUGUUGGUGGGGUAGUGGCUUACCAAGGCUUUGACGGGUAGCCGGACUGGGAGGGUGACCGGCCAAAUUGGGACUGAGAUACGGCACAGAAUCCUACGGGAGGAAGCAGUGGGGAAUAUUGAACAAUGGGUGGAAGCCUGAUGCAGAAAAGCCGUGGGCGGGAUGACGGCCUUAGGGUUGUAAACCGCUUUCGCUCAUGACGAAGCUUUGUGUGACGGUAGUGGGUAAAGAAGCACCGGCUAACUACGUG
rnacentral:rRNA from 1 species